AUGUACACGGCUGUUUCACAGUGAAAAUAAGCUUAGCGCCCCCUUGCGGCCCAAGUGCGCAUAUGCAUGUAACUUUGUUGUGCCGUAAUCUCUGCUGGGGCGAUGAAAAAAUCUGUGGUGAAUGUUGUGGCAUCUGGCGCUGACACGACCAACUCUCUCUGUCUAUCCCCAACAGUUUAUUUAUUUCGCAAGAAUUCCGUGGAGGAAACAUUUUUUUCCAUGUUUGAAGUCUUGCUUGGCGAUGGGAUGAGUCAUUUUCUGAAGCAAUGAGAUGGAAGGAACCUUCAGAGCAUCCAACAAACAAGGAUUUCUGUGAGGCAUUGUGUUUUCCACAUUGCAGACCUCUGUAUCACCAACUUAAAUGAGCCUCCACCUGUCCACCAUGAUCUCCCCCAAACUUAAUCCACACCUCUUCUUCAGGAAUUGCCCCAUCGUGAGUUGUGAGAAAUCCAUUCCUCUGGAAAGAUGAUGGAACAUGAACAUACAUGUAUUGUCUGUGACUCUGCUAUGGACCUAGCGAAUCACUGUCGACUGUCCAUGGUUCAAGUGAGGAUUGGCAAACCUGGUCAUUUCUUGAUUACCUACAGAAUGCAACUGUACCAUGCAAACUCUUAUGCAGUGAUGGAGACACUACCUUUGACUGUGUGAAGAUCAGACAAUGCAAUUCCCAUUGGUCAGCCCCCCACCCCAAGGAGCCAUUCACUGCCAGAGAUCUUGAGCCAGGUCUUCAGUGGUUAUCCAUGGAUAAGAAGAACGGAGACAAUAAAGAUAGUGAGGUAUCUUGUUGAUUUCCGCGUGACCAUCUUCCUGACGCUUCUUCCAAACAGUGAAACUGGAGGCUCUUUCCACGAAUCUUGGAAUAUGUACAAUUGAAUGUAUAGCUGCUUCAAGUGUGAUUCCAGCUUUUUCAAGAGCUUCUUGACGUUCUACUUCUACUGGCCUUUAUUGUAGUUAACAUGUCCUGUUAAUGUUUUUAGGAGGCCAGUUUUGCCACAAACACAGUAAACCUUAAGUUCACAUAUAGUUAAAAAACAGGGAUUACUUGUAACAUCAUCUAGGAAAAAGUUCUUGCUACAAAUUGGACAUGGCGAAACUUUUCAUUCAUUAUGUCUUCAGUAUUUACUGAGGUACUCACUACAAAAGGAAGUUGGGGUCAAAAGGUCAAUGUUUUGUUCAACUUGGUCACAUUCCUUUAUUUCUGCAUCAAUUAUGUUCACACUUACUACAUCUGAUCCUUGGGUAAUACUACAUGUACUUUCAUUAGGAUAAUGGGUCAAAGGCCUAAUGUUAAUAAUCAACUGAAAAUUACUUAGUCAGGAAAAGUGGCUUAUUGGAUUCCCUAUCUUUUGCUCAUAAUAAUUUUUUUUUUUCAAAUUUAAUAUUUCUCCAUCAAAUCUGACAAAUUCAUUAUUUUUUUAAUCAAUAAUUAUUAAACGAUGUCAGUAAUAAGAGUUUUAAUAAACAUGUGCAGUAUAUGUACCAACAUCCAUGUGCAGAAUAUUUGCUGGAAGGGUACAUGCUACAGAGAAAUUUUAAAGUGUGCAACCAUAGGAUACAGGAAAAAAAGUUCUUGCAGUCUUUGAUGUACUUUUAAAGAUCAAGAUAGAAUUCACCCAAAACAUCUAUUAGGCGUUAGUAGCCGAAAAUAUCCUAGAUUAGUUCAGCACUAUUCAUCUGGAAGAAGAGACGAGUCAAAGCAUUUUAAACAAUUUUAAAAGUUGCCUGCGCUAUAAUUGUUUUAAUUGUCAAUUGAUAUGCAGUUAGAAUUGAUCAAAUUCUGAAUGCAAGCUGACAAAUUAUUUUAGAAGGAGGGUAUUAACAUGAAUGUAUUUCAAUACAAGUAAGAUGUCUCUGGCCGUCUUGCCUGCAUUAUUAUGCAAUCCAAUAUGAUCGCAUUUCAGAAGUUUGGUAUGGAAAUGGGUGGAUAAUGGAAAAAGUAUUUGUAGAGUUAAAUGGCACUAAUUGAAUAAUAUUAAAUUCAAUUAUUAACCAAAAACAGACUUCUGGAAUGUCUCUACAGUUAUUAUUCAUGACAUGUCUAAUCAUACUAGACUAGUAGAAAAAUGUCAGCCAAUACAAUAUUCAAAUUUUCAAUUUUUUUUAGUUCCAAUAAUUUAGAUAUAUUUCACUUCAAACUUUAAUUCAAAGACUACAGGCAUCACUUUUUAUACGCCCGUCUUGACGGGUGUAUUAUGGUAUCACGCUCGGUGUCCGUCCGUCCGUUAACUUUUCCUUGUAAACGCGAUAACUUCAGUUUAACUUAAAGGGGAAUCCAGCCUUGCCCAUAAAAUGUUGUGUUGGGAAGGAGAAAAAUAAAUGAAACAGAAUGGUGAAAGUUUGAAAGAAAUCGGAUAAGCAAUAAGAAAGUUAUAGCUCCUUUAAAAUUGAGAUUACUAAUACUAUGUAGAUUUCAAAUUGGCAACUGAGUAAGUAAAUUAUGACAAGGGGCAAGGACAACUUUCCCAUAGGCCAUGUACUUUAUUAUCAGGGAUUAGUGGUUUUCUCCUAAGUACCCAUUCCCCUGGGGCAGUAAUCUAAAUAUAACCGAGGUAGUAGUAUAUUGUUUUAUGUCCUCAUGAAAGAAAAAUAUAAUUUGAAAUAAAACUGUUUGGAAAAAUGAAAUUCUAGCCAUAAUAUGUAUUGGAGUACAUGGAAGAGUAGUCCUUGCUUUACAUCACUAUGACAUCCAAUAUGCGGCCAAUUUGAAGUCUCCAUGGGUAUCGUGAUUACCAAUAUUUACAACUUUUAAAAAUUCAUAACUUUCUUGUUGUUUAUCCAAUAUUGUUCAAACUUUCAGCUAUCAACUUGUCUGAUUUUUCUUUUCCUUAUAAAAACAAGUUUUUAUCUGGGUUGGAUUCCCCUUUAAUUUAGGCUCAUAUAAUUUGGUGCCCGAUACUAGCAUGGAUCCCAGGAAGCCUAUAGAUUUUGAGGUCAGAAGGUCAAAGGUGAAGUCACCAUCUUCCACUUCUCUUGCUUGACCAAUAACUCCAUUUUCCAUGUUACAGACGGGCAUAUUAUGUGCCCGCCUUAGCAACACUCUUGUUCAAUUUGAAGUGUAUUGAUUAAGAAGUUAUAGCAUGUAUGUUAAAUAGUAGGUUAAAAACAACUAAAAUAUGUAUUAUAAUGACAAUGUAUUAUAUUGUGUCAUGAUAUGAAUUAUGACUGUAAGGUUUACAUUUCUAGUCAGUUAAAAUUCAAAGAACAACGAGAUGCAGAUUAUUUUUACAAAUUCAACCAUUUUGAAAAUAUAAAGGAAUGAGCUACAUGUGCAUGUCAUACCCAAUCUUAUCAAUUACCAGUAGUCACUUAUCUGAUUUGUAAUUUAUAUUUAUAGUAUUUUUAAGUCUUGUAUCAUUGCAUGAAAAAAUUUUAUCCACGGGGUACUGAAUUUGCCGGGCAUGUGAAGGUGAAAGUCAUUUUUCAGUUUUUUUUUUUAACAUUGUUAAAAUUAAAUGUACACUGUAAUUGAUAUGUAUACAACGAUAGAUAACCAAUUUUUGUGACUGUUUGAGUGGUAGAUCACAUAAAAUUUGCAAAUAUUAUAUUUUAAAAUGACUGAUUAUUUCAUAUUUAUAUUUAUUCUUUUUUUGGAGGGGGUAUAUAAUGCAGACCUGACAAGUGACCAUGGUUUUCAUUAAGGAGUUCAAUCCCUUCUCCUUUCAUCCAUAUUUUAUAGCUUUUAUAAAGUUACGAGGGUUUCAUUGACCCUACAGACAUGUAGAGUUUGAAUUUUACCUCCUGGAAUCUAAUCCAAACACAUAAAAUGAGGAGUAUCCAUAUCAGGUAAUGGUAAAUGAUUAUGUCUUAAACACAUUUUUUUCCAAACACAUAUAAAGUAUUCUAAUCUUGGGCUAUCAUGAAUUAAGUUUUAGGCUACUUAUCCCAUAUUUCUCACAUUAGUCCAUAAUUCAUUUCCAUAUCGGUUGUUAUACAUGCUUAUUAAAACAUUUUAUUGGAAGGUUUCAUUCAAGUAAAAUUAUUAUCUUGAUGUUUAUUUAUAUAUAUAUCUUUGUGCAUGUUAUGUCACUGGAGGGCAAAUUUUCAAAUGUGGUUCAAUAAAUAGAUGAAUGUGAAUGAA